GUUAGGGAAGAGCAGGGGGUCCUUCCUCUUCAGUUUUGGUCUUGAGUGUUACUGAACCAUUUUGACUCAUCAGCUAAGCAGAGACGUAUCCUAGCCAAGACCCGGGAAAGCGGUCUCCCUCCAUACUUGGCAUCCAGAUUCUGACCCAGUAUUUUGAGGGCAUCCCCGUCACCCUCCUGUCCUCACAAGGAAAGAAGUUGCAUUCUAACGGUCCCAAGAACUCUACCAAACCCUGUCCCUCAUAGAGUUUACAUACAAUGGAAGGAAAUAGACAACAAACAAUAAAUGGACAAAAUAUUUGGAUCCUAUGGUUACAACUCAGGAACAACCAAAUGGAAGAGAUGCAAAAGGCAAAGAAUGAAGGCACAAGCAGCUUCCAUGCCCUCUCCUGGAACGCCACUCCCCCAGCACCUGGGCACGUUCACCAUCCUGAAAGCUCUCUGAACUCUGCCAUGAUGAGGACUCAUCAUGUAUACGUCGUAGAUUAACAACUCAAACUC